AACGAACGCUGGCGGUAUGCUUAACACAUGCAAGUCGAACGAACAAAAUUGGGGCUUGCUCCAAUUUUAGUGAGUGGCAAACGGGUGAGUAACACGUGGGAAUCUACCUAUCAGUACGGAAUAACAUUUGGAAACAGAUGCUAAUACCGUAUAUUCUCCAAGGAGGAAAGAUUUAUCGCUGAUAGAUGAGCCCGCGCAAGAUUAGGUAGUUGGUAGGGUAAUGGCCUACCAAGCCUACGCUCUUUAGCUGGUCUGAGAGGAUGAUCAGCCACCCUGGGACUGAGACACGGCCCAGACUCCGACGGGAGGCAGCAGUGGGGAAUAUUGGAAAAUGAGCGAAAGCCUGAUCCAGCAAUACCGCGUGAAGGAUGAAGGCCUUAGGAUUGUAAAGUUCUUUUAGUUGGAAAGAUAAUGACGGUACCAACAGAAAAAGCCCCGGCUAACUCCGUGCCAGCCGCCGCCGUAA
rnacentral:rRNA from 1 species